GGUCCUUCCAAUCCUUGCAGGGACCUGAGUGCAACACAAGUGUCUGCACAGACACUGCUCCUGCUCCUGCAGACAACAUCCCAUCUGGAGACACUGUGAGUAGGUGGGACUGAGUGCCAACUUGGACUGGGAGUCAUGGAUUGGGAUGCCAGGUUUUCCAAUAAUAACCUCUUGUCUUUAGCAAAGUGCCCCGUGCCGUUUCCUGCUGCCUCUGCAAGGAACGUGGCACCAUCGAGACCCCGUGCAGGACCAUCCAGUUCUUCUGUGAGAGCCUGUGUGACACCAGCACUGCCCAGUGUGGUUCUCUAGCCCAGAAACGGGCAGAAAUAACGGGAGCAGCACAGCCUGGACAACUCAGAAGCAGCUCGGUGCUGUACGUCAAACCCAAGGACAUUCCCCCAGCACACCAUGGAUCCGUAACGUUUGCAGUUGCUCAGAAGCAGGCCAGCACCAGGGGUGACCUCAGCAGCCAGGGAGAUUCCCGAGCAGACUCGUAUUCCUCCCAGCACCUCUCCAGCCAGGGAAGGAAAGCCAUCGAUGAGCUGCUGGUGAAGCUGCACAACAUUCAGAACAGGGGCUGGACCGGAGAUGUGGACAGCAAACCCGAUUUUCUGGCAGAGCAGCUGGUGGCUGAGCUCCAGAGCCAGCAGCCCGAUGCUCAAAGCACCCUGGCUGUGGCAAACAUCGUCCCACAGCAGCCAGCGCCCGCCAGGCGCAACGUGCAGAAGUUCCCAGCAGUGGAGGGAAAGCAAACCACAGGCUGGGAGCAAAAGCAGCUCGAGUCAGGCUUGAACUGGCCAAUCUUAAACCGCUGGGACGUAGCUGGUGGGUCAAACCCCCCGGAUGACAACGCUGCCUUCGGACAUCACGGUGCAAAGGAAGCAGCAGCUCCCCGAAGGAGCUCUGUCCAGAGGUACCAGCGCAGGCAGAGGGACACCGGCUAUCAGCUGCCAUACAACCCCCUUUUCUACGAGGUGUCUGGUGAUGUGCAGGGAGAGGAAGAGCCCACGCCAGGAGAAAGCAAAGGUCUAGACAGAAAGCCAGAGAAUCUCUUGGACCUGUGGCUCAAGAGCCACCCUGAGGACAGCGCUGAAGAAGAGCGUUCCUCUCUCGGGGAAUCCGGGAAGCAAGGAGAGGCAAGGUCCAGGCUUGCCAAGGAGGCAGGAGGCUCCCAGAGCCCCGGCCGUGCUCCAGCUCCAGCAGAGCUCCCCGAGGCAAGGGUUGAGCAUCCCCUGCACUCGGAGGUGCCGGACGAGGCCCUGCGGACGUUCAUCGCCCGCGUGACAGAAGCCCUGAGUGCAGAGUGCAGCCAGCUCGACCUGCAGCUGCUCUGUGCCAGGAUGGUCUCUGAGGCUGGGCUGCUGGCAAAGAGGCUCAGCCCCAGGCAGGACAGCCAGGGAGUCGCUGCUUUCACACGGCAGUGUCUGCACCUGGCCUUGGAGAUGGGCAAGGAGUCCGCAGGAAAGGUAGGAGAGCUCCUGGGCACUGCUGCAUGUGCCUCUCUGGGCAAGGGGCAGUGGAAGGAGCGAGCCUCUCUCCCCUCCUGAUUUGCUCUCCUUCUCUCCCAGCACAAUGCAGGGCUCAACCACUCCAUAGUCACCAGGCUAUUGGUGUUUGUUAUCAUCAUGAUCUUCGCCAUCAUCUUCGUCCUCAUCAUGAUCAUGUUAUAUUUAGUCCAAGUAAGCCAGAACCUCCCUUGCCAGCUGUCAGUCAGGCCUGCGGUGCCCAGCUGAGCCCCAGGGGGGUGUGGAUGCCUGGGCUCGUGCUGGGGAGCACCGGAGAUGUUUGUGCACCCCUGGAGCUUGUGGCA
ensembl:lncRNA